GAAUGAUUUGUCUGGUUAAUUCCGAUAACGAACGUGACUCAAUCAUAUUAAAUAGAUACCUAUCAGCAGUUGAGAUGCCGAAGCUGUGGCAUUGGUAGCAAUAUUGGUGUCAUAGUGGAGUCUCACCUGAUAGUUUGUCAUUCAUCUCUCGUGGGUGUUUGACUUGAAUCUGCUUAAUAGGACAAUUUGUGUUUAGCAAAAUGAGAUUGAGCAAUAACAGGUCCGUGAUGCCCUUAGAUGUCCUGGGCUGCACGCGCGCUACAAUGAAGACAUCAACGUGUAUCCUAUACCGAAAGGUACGGGAAAUCACUAAAACGUCUUCUUAGUUGGGAUUAUGGACUGAAACUGUUCAUAUGAACCUGGAAUUCCCAGUAAAUG
rnacentral:rRNA from 1 species